rnacentral:rRNA from 1 species
UGAGGAACAUGACCUUCGGCGGGGGAUAGCCGGCCCAACGGCCGGGUAAUACCGCGUACGACCACAUGGGGACAUCCCUGAGUGGUGAAAGCAGCAAUGCGCCGAUGGAGUGCCUCGCGGCCUAUCAGCUAGUUGGUGAGGUAACGGCUCACCAAGGCAACGACGGGUAGCUGGUCUGAGAGGAUGGCCAGCCACAUUGGGACUGAGACACGGCCCAGACCUCUACGGGAGG